CGUUUAUUUCUGAAAUUUACAUUACACAGUUGAGAAUUGAAUAUUUUUAUGUAAAUCAUAGGAUGCAUCAGAGCCCCUGAGGAGGUGGAAAAAAAAUGGCAUAACAUCCAAAGUAAAGCCAGGGGAGAAAUUGCAAGGUACAAGCAAGGUGUUAUCAGCACAGGUGGUGGUCCAUCACCAUGCCCUACUUUGAGUGCCACAUCAGAGGUAGUGUGGGAUAUUCUGGGGCAGAAUAAUGUAUCCAUAUGUGGAAUACCAUCAGCUAUGGACACAUCCCUCCUACAGGUGGUCAGCCUUUCUGACACAGUUAA